AGAAGCCCAGACAUUUCCAUGCUGCUUUACAGUCACAGAUGGCUUCCCUGCCCAGGGCUGGCUGCUUCUAAUUUCGGCUGCCGGAGGCUCCUUGCUCGCUCACUCGCUCUCUUUUUUUAAUUCCAUGUUUAUUUAAAGCCAGAUUUUGAAAUGUUGUCUUCAACCCUAAAAUCUGACUUUUUCUUCUUGCAAUAGAUCCUAAAACCCUCUUAGCACCCCAGAGGGUGGGGGAACUUUUGAAGAAUGAUCCAACUGCCCCCUUGUACCACACUAUAAAUGAGGAGAGAUGGUGUGGGUAACUCCAGUGAAGUGCAAGAAGCACCCCGUGCCUACUGCUGGCUGUCUGGUCUGUCCUGUCCUGUCAUCUCCUGUCACAGUCAUGGUGCAGUAGGGCCAGGCACGGCCCAGGCAUGUCACUCCUGGAGCAGGCUCCUCCUCCUCCUCACAAAGCUGGAAGAGACAGAUCUUUUUAGAGGUUCAUGGAAAACUUCAGCUGUUCCCUAGCUGUCCAGAUGAAAAGCAUAUUCCACCCCAGGGGGAAAACAGCACCUCUGAAUGAAUUCGGACAACAUUUUACCCUCAAGUUACGGGAGGUCCACUUGGUGUGACCUUUGCAAACGUCUCUCUGCUGCCAGCUGAAAGAAGAAUACUGCAAGGUUUGGCAGCUCGCCCCUGGAGUCUGCUGUUAGUUCUCACCCAGAUUUGGAGAUUUUUCCUUGUGGCUGCAGGAGCCAACAGAGUCCUUUGUGCCCCAGGACUCAGAGCCCCAGAGCCCUGUUGUAAUUUCCCUUCCUUCUUCGGUUCCUAGAGUUCCCACAGGAAAACCCUGUGCUCUCGAUUCGGCAUCAGGAACAUAGAAGCCAAGGCUGCGGCAGGGACACAAGCUUGCUACUACAGGGCCUUAGUGCCACCUUCAAGGGAAGUGUUUCCUUGUGGUUGGGGCAGGUCUGGUUCUCUGAGUGGCUGUUGUCCCAGGAGGAGAGCCCGAGGGUGCUUGUGCUGGAAGGGACCCACCCUGGGGCUUCCAGCCUAGGUGUGGGACCCAGCAUCAGUGCAUUUGGGUUUKAGAAUAGGCUUUGCUUGGUGGGAGACCCAGCUUUAGCCUCAUGGCCCCUCACCUGGCAUCAGUCCUGCCACUCUGCCCACCCCUGGCCCUGACUGGGAGGGGUGGUGAGCUUAACACUACACUGCCACCUGGUGGACAGCCAGAAAAAGGCGCUGUGGGGUACCAGCCCCAGAGUGGUGGGACAGGUGCUGUUAAGGACAAAGCGRGAGGCCACAGACUUGUGUGGGCAAGUGCAGGUGCRGAGCAGGUGUACUUGGUUUGUAGGACCAGGCUGGAAUCUGGACUCUGCUUCUGGAAAGUGCACCCUUCAAGCUGGCCUUUUCAGRAGGGAAGAGUAACACACUCCCCUAGGGCCCAAGAGGAGACAGUGUGAGUUAUGGUUCUGCCACGGAGCAGUGGAGUGAUUAGCCUGGACCUGCAAAAGGAAUGUCUGGGGAU
rnacentral:lncRNA from 1 species